rnacentral:rRNA from 1 species
UACGAAGGGGGCUAGCGUUGCUCGGAAUCACUGGGCGUAAAGGGUGCGUAGGCGGGUUGGUAAGUCCGUGGUGAAAUCCCCAAGCUUAACUUGGGAACUGCCGUGGAUACUAUCAAUCUUGAAUAUCGUGGAGGUAAGCGGAAUAUGUCAUGUAGCGGUGAAAUGCUUAGAUAUGACAUAGAACACCAAUUGCGUAGGCAGCUUACUACACGAUCCAUUGACGCUGAGGCACGAAAGCGUGGGGAGCAAACAGG